rnacentral:rRNA from 1 species
CCGAGACCCGAAACCUGGUGAUCUUGCCAUGGCCAAGUGCUAUUUAAUAAGACUGAACGGGUGUCCGUUGCAAGGGACUCCGAAGAGCUGUGGCAAGGGGUGAAAAGCCAAUCUAACCUGGAGAUAGCUGAUCUUCUGCGAAACCCGUUUUAGCGGGUCGCCCAUUUAUUGAAAUUAAAUUCGUUACUAGACGGUACGGCACUGGAAGCCACGCAGCUUUUGCUGCAUAAUCGGGGGGCUGUCAUGGCUCUAUCGAUGGCUUCUAACCCCGGAAAUGUAUAGUAUACAAUGAUGGGCAAUCAGACGUAUCGUGAUAAGGCGAUUCGUCAAAAGGGCAACAGCCCAGAACAGGUGUGAAGGUCCCUAACAAGCUACUGAGUGAACACAAGGCAGUCCUCUCCAGUGUCUCUCCACAAAGUGGGCUUGGAAGCAGCCACCUUUUAGCGAUAGCGUAACAGCUCAG